AUUGAACGCUGGCGGCAUGCCUUACACAUGCAAGUCGAACGGUAACAGAUCUUCGGAUGCUGACGAGUGGCGAACGGGUGAGUAAUACAUCGGAACGUGCCUAGUCGUGGGGGAUAACUACUCGAAAGAGUGGCUAAUACCGCAUGAGAUCUACGGAUGAAAGCAGGGGAUUGCAAGACCUUGUGCUACUAGAGCGGCCGAUGGCGGAUUCGGUAGUUGGUGGGAUAAAAGCUUACCAAGCCGACGAUCUGUAGCUGGUCUGAGAGGCCGAUCCGCCGCAGGGGGACUGCGACUCGGCCCAGAGUCCGACGGGGGGCAGGAGGGGGGAAUGUUGGACAAGGGGCGGAAGCCUGAUCCAGCAAUGCGGCGUGCAGGAUGAGGGCCUGCGGGUGGUAAACUGCUUUUGUACGGAACGAAAAGCCCUGGGUUAAUACCCUAGGGUGAUGACGGGACCGUGAGAAUAAGCACCGGCUAACUACGUGCCAGCCGGCGCGGUAACAC
rnacentral:rRNA from 1 species